UACAGAGGGUGCGAGCGUUGUUCGGAAUUAUUGGGCGUAAAGGGCGCGUAGGCGGUGCGGUAAGUCACCUGUGAAAUCUCCUGGCUCAACUGGGAGCUUGCAGGCGAAACUGCCGUGCUGGAGUGUGGGAGAGGUGCGUGGAAUUCCCGGUGUAGCGGUGAAAUGCGUAGAGACCCGGGGGAACACCAGUGGCGAAGGCGGCGUCCUGGCCUGCGACUGACGCUGUGGCGCGAAAGCUAGGGGAGCGAACGGG
rnacentral:rRNA from 1 species